rnacentral:lncRNA from 1 species
AAAAACACACCCAAAAGCUUAAAAUAAAUGUUAAAAAGCACUCUUGAAACUCUCAACCGUUAUGUUGUUGAACCCGAAGUUACUGUCUGGACUCAGCACCACGUAGUGUACCAAUCCAAGCAGGUGGCUGCAUCCCGGUCUGCUCAUAAACCGUAUCAAGAACCGGUGGCAACAUCUUGUAGAGUCCAGCAAUUUCCUUCAUACCACCACUACCCAUCCCCUGAUCAACACCAGCACCACCACCUUGGUUCCACACACUGAUCUUAGGCUGCAAGUCCCUGAUGGCCAAAGCAUUGGUCUUGGCGAUAUCCUGAUAAACCCCAUUGUUGAUCAUCAAAAAGUCCCUCAUCGCCGAGUAGUCAUUGUCAACCGCGUCCAAGAGAGUCUUGAUGUAAGUCCCUUGAGCAGUGGCCAUGGCCACAAGCCCAUCCGCAUCUCUCUGUUUAGCAUAGAAGGAUGCAUCAGCUGCAGCUUUAGUAGCCUCCGCUUGCUUCUGCUUCUCGUAAAGAACAGCUUCUGCCUUCUUCUGCUUGUCAUACAGCUCCCAGUUAGCUUCUUGCACCUUGGUCUCAUACUCAACAGUGGCUUUGCUGAGGAACUCGGCUUUGAGCUUCUCCGUCCGAGUCAAAGCAUUCAUCUUCUCGACUUGCGUCUGAAGCUCAGCUUCCCUCAUAGCAACGGCCUUGCCAGCUUCAACCUCAGCCACACGAGAGUUUUUGGUCAAAGCAGCCUUCUGAAUCGCGAGUGCUGCAUCAGCGUGAGCGACGAGAGCCUCCUUCUCGUUCUGAAACACUUGGACCUCGGUCUUCACCUUGAUCUCCUCCUUUGUCCCUUCUCCUAGCCUCUGAGUUGCGAUGAUCUUCGACUCAGCGUCGAUCUUGGCUGCGUUCUGGAUGGUGAGACCGGUACGUUCUUUAGCACCGACCUCUCCCUUCAUCUUAGCCUCGGCGACAUCGAUCUUGGCUUGGUUAGCUGCUUCCAUCUGAGUCUUCUGACCCAAGUAAGAGAAGUACUCAUGUCCAGGGACAUCAACGAGCUGCUUCACGUUGGCGUUGUAGAUCACAAGACCAAACUGGUUUAGCUCAAGUUGAACCUUCUCAAACACUUCCUGCUUAAACUCCUUUGUUCCUACGAAAAAAAAAACACAAUAAUCAAACUUCAAGAGGCAAAUCAGCGAAAAGAAUAUUAUAAACAAUUUAGUAAGAAUUUAUAUAAUUAAAAUUCUUUAACAAAAAUAAUUAAAUAAUAAAAAAAUAAAAAAUAAAAUUGGGGAUUUCACUAGCCUAUGUUCAAGACUUGCCACGCAAGCAAGAUACAAAUCUAGGGUUUCAAGAUUUGUAUCUGGUGAUUUUACCUUUGAAGACCUCUUCCAUGGUCAUGGAGGCGACGAGGACACGAGUCUCUCCUUCGAUAACACCCUGAACAAGCUCGUUGACGUGGUUAGAGUGCUUGUCGUGCUGAGACAUAAGCAUGGCGUACAACAAGAGAGCGUGAGGGUCAUCGACGCGUGGACCGAUGGUGAACACGGCGGGGAUAACAAAGGGGAGUUUCUCGGAACUCAUGGCUUGGACCUCGAAGGUGUAGUUGACCGGAGAGACGUCGAAGACGGUACAAGAUUGCCAUGGAAAGACCCACGACUUCUUGGCGAGUUUGAUGUCUUUGAUCCCACCACCGGUGAUGGCGAGGUACUGCGAUGCUCUUGCGACUUUGUAACUCAUUCUUCUUUGAAACUUGUUAGGUUUGUUUGUGUAUGUAUGUGUGUAGAGAGAGGUAUCAUAAGACGCAAGUACUUAUAUAAGAGUUCUUAAUAUAUACGCGUAAUUAGGAAAAAUGGAAAAUAAUACUCGGAAACAAACAAAUUAUUAUUAUUAAUUUCCUUUUCUUUAUCUCCAAGUUUACAAUUUAGUGAUCUACAUGUAUUAUAUGUUUGCUUUUUUUGGGUCAAAGUCUACUAAAUAAAUUGUUAUUAUACGAUAAAUCCAUGUAUAUUUAUUGAUAAAUAUCAAUGGUGUUUAAUGUUUAUCUUUGACUUUUUUAUUAAAGUAUAAUAUUCCAUCGAUUCCCAAAAAACAAGUUUUAGAUUUUUUACUCAUAUUAAAAUAAUAUAUUGUUGACAAAAAAAAUUACAAUACUAAAUUAAUUUGUGAUUAUCAAAUGCAUUACUUUUUCUAAUUAAUUAUUUUCUUACAUUUUAACCAAUAUAAUAUAAUAAACACAAUUUUUUUGAAGUUUACAUUUUAUCAUUAAAUAGUGCAUUAAAAAAAUAUUUUAACCGAAAAAUAUAAAAAAUAUUCUUCUAAAACAUAGAUAUUUUGGAAUGGAAAGAAUAUUUAUAAAAAAAGAUUGAAAGAAUAAUUAAAUAAAAGAUAUAUUAUGGUUUAUGGUUGAUAUAUUGGUGAAGCAUCCAAGAAACUCCGGAACAUCUUUUAAAUAUUCGUAAAGAAUACUCAUAUAUGACAUAUCCGAACAAGCUGUAUUCUAUAUGGGAUUUCAGUUUAUUUUCUUCUCAAUACCCACAGAUUGUGUAUGACUAGUUUUUAAUUAAAAAUAGAGAAAUAAAGGAUAACUAUUAGCUAAAUUUGUCGUUGAAUUGAAUAAAUAUUGAAUUCAGGAACUCACCAGUAGUCAUAUCCAUCCAUAUCUGAAAAAACACAAGACGAGUUUCUCAUAACUAAUCAAAUGCAAUCGCUAAUUAAAAAUUAAACAUACUAACAACUUACAUAAAAUCACGGGAAAAUCGUAAACGACAUACAACGAUGGCGUGUUUUUUUUCCAACAUUUUAACAAAUCAACGUGCUACACGUGGACUACCAACUAAAGCAAGCCGUUAUUUUCAGGAGAAAGGAAGGAUCACAGCUCCGUCGCUUUAUCUAUCCACCCACCCACCCACCCAAUAUCUCGUCGUCUUUCCGUUGAUCAUCAUCUUCUUCCCAACAAUCAAUCAAUCAAAAGAGAGAGAGAGAGAGUCUCUCGUGGAUUCAGAAUCUCUCCUUCGGUCAAAUUCAUAUUCUUCCUCUCUCUCUAUAUAUAUAUAUAUUGGAGUUUCUGAUGGUAGACAGCUAUAGUAACCUCUCGUGGCUCGUAUGGAUCCAAAUGUUCGUCUUCUUCCUCCUCCUCUGCGUCUUCGGAUUGUUAUCCUCAGAUGUCAGCGAGAGCAGUGUCUCAUCUUCCGAUUCACUUCCUUCUACGUCCGCCUCUGGGAGGUUUCUUGCUGGAGAUCCGAUCCCGAUCAGCCACCACCGUGGCUUGGGGUUCUCCGUAGUACAGUCUAAUCAGGUAAACUCUUAAUGCUUCCCCGUUGACUUGCUGUUUUUUUUUUUUGUAAUGUGUGUUCCAAUUGAGAUAUAUGAUCUGAAAUCGAAUCUUUAGGGGUUAGAUUGUAAUUUACGAAAAUAGCAGAGCCAGGAUUAGCUGCAUUAGAAUGUAAUGCCCAGCGAGCUCACGUUGAAGGUUUCUGAUCUUAUCGAUGUUCAUUCUGGCCAAUGGAUAGUGCCACGUGUUAGAGAGACGUUUAGUCCUGAUGAUGUGCGACUUGUCCUCAACACCAAGAUCAACCCCUCACGUCACGAUAAUACGAUCUGGUGCUUCACAAAAAGUGGACAAUAUUCGUCGAAGAGCGGCUACAAACUCCUCGUGGACUUACAGGAGAUGAACUCUCCUUUCCCAGCCUUGCCCCCCAUUGAAAAACAGCUCUGGUCUGAUCUAUGGAGAACAAAAACAUCCCCUAAACUCAGACAUUUUCUGUGGCGCGCUCUAUCUGGAGCUUUGGCGGUGAAGGAAAGAUUACGUACUAGAGGCAUCCACCUUGACACUACAUGUGUAUCUUGUGGGUCUGCGUCAGAAUCUAUUUGUCAUGUUCUAUUCCAGUGUAGGUUUGCGCAGGAAGUAUGGUCUCUAUCCGGUAUUCCUCCUCCUACUGCUGGCUACUCUCAGACAUCGAUGUUCUUAAACCUUUUCCAUCUCUUGAAGUGUAGCAGAAACCCGUCCCUCCCCUUGGGUGUGCGUCUCGCUUUUCCAUGGGUCCUAUGGCAUAUAUGGAAAGCUAGAAAUGGCUUUAUCUUUGAGCAUGUGAGAAUGGAGCCUUCCCUGGUUCUAUCUCGAGCUAUGGAAGAAGCGGGUAUGUGGCUUACUGUUAACUCAUGUGUUGAGUCGACUGCAACCCCUGCUGUGGCACCUACAAUUGAGACACCUAAGAGAACCUGGUCCAAACCUCCCCGAGGUUUGCUUAAGUGCAAUGUUGGAACCUCUUGGCAACCUAGCAAUCUUGGUAGUGGUGCGUCUUGGAUUGUCAGAGAUGAGAUAGGUAAUCCUGUGAUACAUAGCAGAAGAGCUUUCUCUGGUGUUCUUUCUGAGUUGGAAGCUUCGCUUCGCUCUCUUGCGUGGUCGAUCAUGGCGCUUUCUGAUCUCCACCUUGACAAAGUGAUCAUCGAGUUCUCAUGUGUUAUGAUGGCGGAAGCCCUGCUAAACCCUACUAAGUUUCCUGAGGUCCAGUACUUAAUUCAAGAAACUUUGCAAUCUCUCCAUCGUUUCUCAACCUAUACUUUGAAUCAUGUUGAACCGGAGAAGAACAGAGUGGCUAAACUCAUUGCAGUGAGUGUCACCAAGGAUCAACGAUAUCAAUCGUAUGUGGCUCAAGGAGGCCCUGCUUGGUUGGCUCACACCAUUCAAAGAGAGGCCCUGCCUCAUGAUCUAUAGCCCCUAACAGGUGGCUCUGUGAUCUCUACGGGUGUGCGAAUAAUCGCCUUUUAAGCACCUACUGGUGUCUUUUCCCUUUGCUGUUUUUUUUAACUUUAUGUCUCUACUCUCUAUUGUUUCUUUGUUCUUCCUCCCAAUCCUCUUAUGUGAGGUGUGUGUUACAUUUUUGGAGGUUUCUCUUUAUAAUUUGAAUACAACCAGCGUCAAAAAAAAAAAAACUCUUUCCGUUCCUAAAAGAUCCAUGUUUUAGAAUUUUCAUAUUUUUUAAUAAAACAUAUUAAAACUUAGGUAUAAAUGCAUAGUUUUUUGUAAUUUUAUAUUUUCUAUAUUUUUAAACCAAUAAAAUUUUAAGAAAUGCAAUUAAUGUUCUUGAACUUCACAAUUUCUCAUUAUUAAUUGACAAAAAAUAUAUUGAAAAUAAAAAAUAUAAUCUUUUCGAAACAAAAGUUUUCUCUAGAAUAUGGAUCUAUUAGGGACGGAGGGAGUACGAUCGUUUCUCAAUAACAAGAAACAAUGACGUAAUUAGAUAUAGGCUUCCUAUAAAAAAAACCGGAGUAGAUUUGAUUUAUAAGUUUUUUGAAAACAUACCGAUGCGUUAUGCUUGACCAAAUAUAUAAAUCUUUUUUUUUUUUAACAUCUGCAUUAGAUUAGAUACGAUAGCCUUUGUUCUAUAUCGCUUUAACGAAAGUUAGGCCAAACAAAUCGAUAAAGUUUAUCACAAUAUCUAUGAAAAUAUAAUUACAUUUUCAAGAAUUCAAUAAGUCAAAUCUUAUUGUCUUGGUGUGCACUGUAAAGUACAGAAAGUCCUGUCUGUUUCAGACGCAGCAGAAGCAAACAUACAACUUGCAUCUUCAGCCGUCGAUCUGCAAACCAAAAUCCAAAUAUUCACGUUACCGAGCACUAACGUUAAGGUGGACCGUAACGUAGGUGAUAACAUCUCUAGAAGCAAAACUCAUUACUUUGAAAGUGGAAGCUCACUUUUCACCACCCUGCCGUCGCUCCUUACGUCAUUUUGAUGACGUAAUCGUUCUCUUCUUUCCACACGUGGCCUUGAAGCACCUUCCUAGUAUCUACCCUGAAAUUGCUUGUCAUUAGUAAAUGUUUAUUAAUCUUAUCUCUUACUUAAUUAUCUUUCUUUAUAAAUGUUUAAAAAAGAUUCGUACAUAAAUAUACUAAAGAUAUAUUAUAUAUAUAUGCAUAUAAAUAAACGACCAUUCAUCUCUGUCUCCCCUUCUUCACUUGCUGUACUAGUUCUUAGAUGCUUUAAGAUCUCUCUGUCUUUCAAUUUUUUUUUGGUAUUUAAAAAGAAAGAAAAAUGAAUAUUUCCCAAAACCCUAGCCCUAAUUUCCCCUUCUUCUCCGAUGAAAACUUUAUUAAUCCUUUCAUGGAUAAUUUCGAUUUCACGGAUUUGAUCUUCGAUGUUAAUGAAGGAGGCAACAAUAAUGGAUUCAUCCAGGAGGAAACUUCAUCUCCUAUAAGCAUCGUUUCAUCGGAGACAUUUACCGGCGAAAGCGGUGGAUCCGGCAGCGGAAUAACGACGUCAAGUAAAAAGGAACCAACGUGAGUUUUAGUUAUAUUUGUUGGCUAGAUUCUUCUUAACCAAAACUUUAUCAACUUUAUUAAUAUAUAACAAUUUGUUUUAAUAGUUUUGGAUGCAAAAGUAGGGGAAGUAAAGACGGCGAGACGAAGGAGAUGGGCCAUAGAGUUGCAUUUAGAACGAGAUCAAAGAUUGAUGUGAUGGAUGAUGGUUAUAAAUGGAGGAAAUAUGGGAAGAAAUCUGUGAAGAACAACACAAACAAGAGGUAAUCAAUGAUCAAAAAGUUGAAUAACUCGUUUCAUUUAAUUAUUGAAUGAUAAUAUCUCAAGUAGUUGUUUAUUAAAAGUUAACAUAUGGGUUGCUUGAUCAUUUUCUAUCAUCAUCUUGUAAUCCUAUUGGUAUACUAGAAUAUAUUCCACUAAUUAACUAGAACAUAUAGUGAUUUGAAAACUGUUUAAUGGUCCCGUAUUAGUUACCAACCCACUAGUAUUAAAAAAGAAACAGAUUCCACAUGCAUCCUUGUCUACGUUUUGUGUUUAUAUAUAUAUAUAUUCAUAUGUUUCUGAUUGAAAAGAGGUAAAUUCACUAAUCCAUGGCUGGGAAGCAUUCAGCAUAUAGAUCUUAUUUUGACUUAUAUCAUUGAAGAAACAAAACAAAUCGCCCACAUGUAUCUUGAAAACACAUUUUAGUGAUCAGUCUCGGCUAUGCAGUUUAUUAUUGGUGGGAAAUUUAUUAAAGUAAUUAAAACUAAUGAAUGUGAAUAUAUGUAUAUAGGAAUUACUACAAAUGCUCAAAUGAAGGUUGCACGGUGAAGAAGAGAGUAGAGAGAGAUGGUGAGGAUGCAGCUUAUGUGAUUACAACAUAUGAUGGAGUGCAUAACCAUGAGAGUCCCUCACAUGUCUAUUACAAUGACAUGGUUUUGUCAUAUGAUCAUGAUAAUUGGAACCAACACUCUCUUCUUGAAGCUAUCCAACAAAUAUCUCCUCCAUACUGAGAUUAUUAGAUAACUACCAUCGUCAUAAUCUCAAUGUAUUAUUGCCUUGUGUAAUAAUAAAAAGUUCGUUAUAUCGCUUAUAACUGUAUUGAUAUAAUGUAAAUGGUUAUGAAACCUUUUGUAGUUAUCUAGAUAUCAAAAUAUCAAUGUAUAUAUAGUUCAUAAUAUGCAGUGUUGUGCUUAGUUUUAUAAAAUGUCUAGAAUGAAUUUUCCUGGAUGUUAUUAACCGAUACAAAUCAUACCAAGUAUAUAUAUGUGUUAAAGAGUUAUCUCUUCUGGUAAUAAAGGUGGAAGAAGAAACCACUUGAGUGCGUACAAUAUCAUCGCUAGAGUUCUCAUCUUCUAUGUGUCUUUGAAAUAAACUACAUCGUAUCAAAAUGAGUUAUAGUUCAUAAGUUCACUCCGCUCAGGUCAAUUUUUCAUAAGCAUGAUCUCUGUUUUUAGGUUCAUUUAAUAAAUGAGAUUAAUGAUUGAGCUUAAAUUAGAUAACGAGUUAUAUGAGCAAUAUUUAAUGAUCUUGAGCUAACUCAUGAGGUUGGUCGCUUUUAUACUUUAUAUAUAUAUAUAUGACUUCUAUUUUUGUUAUGAAAGAAAAAAUAGUUUCUAUAUUAAUCGUAUUUAACUUCUAAAAUUAAAAUGUAAAACCAAAAAAUUAUAAAUAUAUACAAAAAUGUAAAAGAAUAUUGAUAUCAAUCCUCGUAUCAUAUAUCGUUAGGAUUAAAAUCUAAAACAAAAUAUUCCUAAGACUCUCAUGCAGAAUAUAUAUCUUUAUGAUUUGAAUAGAUGAAGACUUUGAAGAUGAAUCAUCUUAAGACUUGUAUGUGGAAUAAAUUUUUGGAUCACUAAUUUUGCUUUUAUUUAAUUUAUUAUUAGGUUUUGGUUUUAUUCAGUAUUUAAUAUUAAUGUUUUGGAUUUUUAGUAUUUAAUUUUUAAAUUAUAUUAUGAACAUUAUUUUAUUUUAUAUUUUAAUUUAUAAUUUUUAUUUUUAUAUUUGAUCGGGAGUUAGCUCAUUUAACUCAUGAUCUAGAUGAUCUGAGUUCGAGUUUACAUAUGGAAGCUCAUAUAAUAAAUGAGCUGAGCUGAGCUAGCUCAUGAAAGAUCCGAGCUCACUAUGAGUUGAGCUGAGUUGAGCGAGGUAGCUUAUUUUGACACCCCUACUCUUAACCGCUUCUCCUACCAUGGUAGUUGUCUACAAUCAUAAUAUGAGGGUUCUACUUAGCUACUCUAGAACACAAGCAGUAAUAACAAUUCUAAUGAAAUAUAUAUAAUUAUCACCUUAGCAAUUCUAUAGUUUUGGCUAAUCUUUCAUAACCCUAAUUAGCCCUAAAUCUAACAAUGUGGAUCUACUCAGACGUGAUCAAGCAAAGCAUGAUAAAUAACUGAAUAAAAUGCAUAAAACAGAAUAGGUAUGAAAAACUAGAGUUUCAUUACAAGCUCUAAAGGAGUCUUGGAUCUUCUCUCUAAACUACUAAAAACCUUAAAACUGUAUGGUGUGAAUGAAAGAAAAAAAGUGUGUGUCACCUAAUACAAUGGCAGAUCACUUAAAUAUUACGUUAAAGUCGACCAUGGGAAGUCUUGUAAAUAUGUGGAUCUUUGGCCGUAAGUCAGCUAGGAAUCAAGUCGGGUCUCUCGCGCUUCGAUGUCGAACGACGACAAGAGAUGUUUGUCGAUCGACGAUUGUCUCUGAAUGUCGACUCUGGCUGGCUCCUUGAACAGCUACUAGUUUCUUCUAUCUUUAGCUCCAAAAUGCUCCAUAACACCACAUUAUUCCAAAACAUACAUGAACCUGUAAAGACUCUAAAAAGACUCUUUUUUUUUAGCAACAUGAAGUCUUUAACAUACAUGAACCUGUAAAGACUCAAAAAAGACUCUAAAACAUAAUAAAUAGACUCUAAAAUAACUAUAUACCAUUGCUGAAAACUGGUAAAGUCAAUGAUAUAUCAACUCCUCCAUACUUACCAUUUUACUUGUCUUCAAGCACAACAUAGAGUAGUCUAUGAAAGAGGUUUAAGAACUCAGCAGGGAAUCACAUAAUUUAAAACCACUACUCUCACUUCUGCAUAUAUGAAUAGAUUGUAAUGAUUCAAUACUAACCUUAGAGAUGUUUCAAUGUACUACACUCUACCAUACAACACACAACUCCAUUAAUAUUGUCUGACAUACCCUUCUACUGACCUCAUUUCAGUAUAAACAUACAUGUAUAUGCUACAUCUUGGGAGUAUCGAUCACUGAACACAUGAAAUCAACUCAAGCAAGUAUGUGGACAACCAUGAAGUCUUUUCUGACUAUUUCCCUCUCUCUUCUCUCUUCUCUGAAUCUUAUUACCUCAAUUCCAAUGAACAAUGAUGCUGAUGCAAUCCAUCUUGCCCAUCUUUCGUUCGAUUAUAUAUAUAUAUAUAUAUAUACAAUGGUUUAAUUUUUUUUGUUCAAGUAAGAUACAAAUGAUCAUACAUCGUAGGGGUGAGCGUUCGGAUACCCGUUCGGGUUUGUAUCCGGUAUUUGGGAUUUUUGGGUAUUUCAGUAUAAUGGUAUAGAAACCGUUUGGGUAUUUCUACACUUCGGAUCAGGUUCGUUAUGUUCAGAUAUUUUGGAUCGGGUUACGAUAUUUAAAAUUUUAAAAAUAAAUAAAUAAAUUAUUCAUUGUUUGUGUUUUUUAUUUAAAAUAUGGUUUUCUAAUUUUUAAAAGAUUAAACUAUUCAUAUGUUUAGAGAUAAACUUUAAAUCGAAGUGAUCCUGACAAUCCAAAAAAAAACACUUCUUCAAAUCGAAGUGAUUUUUAAUAUUGGAAGCACUAUAUAUAUUAUUUCAUUCAGAUUAAAUAAUGGGCAAAGAAAAUGACCUAAAUAGCUCUUUUUUAUUUUGAAAUUUUUAAUUUUUUAUUUUUUAAAAUUUGAAACUCUAUCUUCAAAACCACACCCAUUAACUUUAAACUCUAAGUUUAGAGUAGUUAACCCUAGGGUAAAAAGCUAUCUUCAAAACCACACCCAUUAAAACUUAUUUUGGUCAUUUUUCUCAUUGAGAACUAUUUUGUGACAAAAACUUAAAAAAACUAUCAUAUGGAAUUCUCUUAAAUAAUUUAGUCUUGAUUUGUUUCUUAAAAAACUUUUAAUGAAAUAUCGUGACAAGAUUACAGUCACAUUCUUUUGAUUUUGUUCGAAGAAUGAGAAAUUUGAUCAUUCGUUUGAUAUUUGUUUCUCCCUAAUAUCCUAUAUAACUAUUAUAAUUGUAAGAAUGAGAGAUUUGAACUAUUUAUUAUAAAUUUUAUGGUUUAUCAUUUAAUAAAUCAAACAGUUCUUAGUUUAUAGUUUACAUAUACUAGAAUGGUAAAUUAUUAUAUAUUUUUUUAUCUAUAUACGUAACUAAACCUCAAAAGCAUAAGCUAAUAAAAUAAGUAAUUUUUUUUUGUUCUAGAAUUAGAUGAUUUUUAGACCAUACUGGUGAAUAUAUACUAGACAAACAUUUAUAUUUCGAGUCUGCACUUAUAUUCUAUAACUUGAUAUAUUAGAUUUGAACAUUUAUCUCUUAAUAGAGUUUCCCGGUGAUUUUCUUCAAAAUAUUGAUUCUUAGAUAUAUAUCUGAAGUGGAACUAAUUUUUACAAAUGUCUAUAUUUUUAAAUUAAUACUUAUAUAAUUCACCGAAUUCAUAGAAUUUUUUUUUUUUAAAGCACUAAAUUUAUAUCAAUGAUUCAGAGACGAGAACGAAAACACAAUUUUAUAGAGGUGAAAAAUGAGAUCACAUAUGGAGAUUCAAUAGUAAACAAAUCGAAAGCAGAAAACCUAAUACUCUUUUAUCAUUAUACAAUCGAUGAUGCCUAUCUAGUUUUGGUGAUUUGUGUCAAUCGCAAAACUUAAUUUUUUUUGUGUAUAUGAAGUUUUAAAAAUAAUUAAAAUGAACUGUAAUACAUUAAUUCUUCAACAACAAUGAUACAUUUAAGAGACCAACAUUUUUAUUCGUCAUUUUACGAUCGAUAAAAAUCGUAGUAUAACAAAAUCUUAAAAUUAUUUAAUGAACAAACAUUAUUAUAAAAACUCAGUUCGUUAACAUAAGUAUUUGUGGAAAAGCCCAUAUGCGACUCAGCGGUAGCUUUUCCGGUUCACAUAUGGAAAUUACUAUCCCGGUUGAAAUGACUCCGGUUUAUAAGAGAUUUAGUUUGAUCGGUUUGAUUUACGAUCCGGUUUUUCUGGGGUAAACUGUUAAACACAGGAAAGGAAGUCGUUUCAAUUGUUCUUCCGCCCAAAUCUGAAACACUAACUUGUUAGUAUUUUCCAAGGGAAUCUCUGAUCUCGAUCCAGAUUCAUUCGUGGAGGAAGACGACCGAACCCUACUUCAUUGAUUACGCUGGAGAGAUCUGUGUAAACAAUUUGGAUUCCGUUUUGUCGUAAUCGCAGAUCCCGCUGCUUCUCUCGAUCGAAAAGAAUCUGAAUCGAGAUUGAUUAGUGUUGGUGUGCUAUGAGUGUUAGUGUAUGAGCAAAAAUAAAAAAAAAAAUGAAGUUUUGGAGAGAACGUGAAAGGGAAAGCAAAGAGCAGAUCUUAGCUCCAUUAUGUGGCCAAGUUCGAGUCUUGGUCGUUGGUGAUUCAGGUAUAUUGAUCUAGUUAGGUUUUAUAGGAUGAUUCAGAUUGAUUGAUAGAUCAUUGUGGUUAGGAGUAAUGGUUGUGUGGUCGUUUAGUUAGUAUCUUAAAGCCAACAUUGUUUUCCUUACACUCUGUUAGUUACUUUCCGUGUUUGAUUUUUGCUUAUGAUGAGUCAUGGCUCAUGUUCAUGUUGAGUCUUGGUUGUUGGUGGAUUCAGGUAAAUCACAAGCUCUACCUUCAUGUAGGUUUCUUAGAUUAUAUGGAACCAAACCAAGUUAGUCGUUUACAAUGGGUUUUGUUAAGAUUGGUUUAUACUAUUUGGACACUCAUGCUAUACCUGAUCAUGUGUGGCUCAGGUAGAUAGAUCAUUGUGGUUAGGGGUAAUGAUUGUGUGCUCGUUGAGCUAUCUUUAGUCAACAUUGUUUUCCUUAGCGAGUGUUACUUACUGUGUUUGCUUUUGCUCAUGGCUCAUGUCAAUGGUUGAGCUCAAAAGUCUGAAAAUAUUCAUACUUUGCAUUAUUUGAGUUAAUUUUAAUCUUUUCGAAUCUCAAUUUUUUCUUUUUUUGGUUAGGUGUGGGGAAAACAUCACUUGUACACCUCAUUAAUAAAGGUUCUUCUAUUCAUCGUCCAUCUCAAACGAUUGGAUGCACAGUUGGUGUCAAGGUAACUUAAACCGUAUCUUAUGUUCUCAAAUUUUUUUUUGGGAGAUGAAGUUUUGAUUUUUCUUUCUCCUACUUUCCUGUUGUGUAGCAUAUAACUUACGGGAGUCCAGCUAGUUCUUCGAGUAGCAUUCAAGGGGAUGCAGAGAGAGAUUUCUUUGUUGAGCUCUGGGAUGUUUCAGGGCACGAGAGAUACAAAGAUUGCCGCUCACUCUUCUAUUCGCAAAUCAAUGGUCUCUCCUAAGUCAAUUAUGUAUCCAUGUUGUUUAUCCUUUUUUGUCUCUGAAACAAUGUCAUAAAGCGAGAAAUUUACAUAUUGCAGGAGUAAUAUUUGUUCAUGAUCUCUCUCAAAGAAGAACAAAAACAAGCUUGCAGAAAUGGGCGUCUGAGGUUGCAGCGACUGGAACUUUUUCAGCUCCUCUUCCCUCAGGAGGUCCUGGUGGUCUUCCUGUUCCGUACAUUGUUGUUGGAAACAAAGCAGACAUUGCUGCGAAAGAAGGAACAAAAGGAAGCAGCGGAAACCUUGUUGAUGCAGCUCGUCAUUGGGUCGAGAAGCAAGGUUUGCUUUCCUCAAGUGAAGAGCUUCCUCUCUUUGAAAGCUUUCCUGGUAAUAGUGGUCUCAUAGCGGUAAGUAAUCACUAGUUUCUGUUAAUCGAAUUCAGUGUUUGCUUUUUACUUAUAUGAUUUGGUGUCGGCGCAGGCAGCUAAAGAAACCAGAUACGAUAAGGAAGCUUUGAACAAAUUUUUCCGGAUGGUUAGUGUCAUUAAACACACCUUUCUUUAAGGUUACAUCUUCUCUAUACUGAUAAAACUAUUUUUUGUGGUUCUUUUAACAGUUGAUAAGAAGAAGAUAUUUCUCAGAUGAACAACCAGCAGCUUCACCGUGGUCUAUUUCGCCGCAUCGAACCUCAUCAUCCCAACGGUUAGAUGACGAGAUCACAAGCGAUGAUGACCAAUUCUACAAGCGAACAAGGUAUAAAACAACGCUAAAAGCAAAAGAUCUUUUAAAAGUUAGGUUUGGUCUUAACAGUUGAUUGUUGCAGUUUUCAUGGAGAUCCUUACAAGUACAACAACAACACGUUACCGCCACUUCCCGCACAACGCAACCUAACUCCGCCUCCUACACUAUUUCCACAGCAGCCGGUCUCUACUCCUGACAACUACGCUAUCCCGAGAUUCUCACUAUCGAGUGAAACAAGUAACAAUGGCAGUGGUAGAUCAAAGCGAAUGGAUAUUAACGUUUGAAACCAUGCAUCUCUUUAUCGUUACAAGAAAACUUAAUGAAGAUGUGUUGCUUUUGGUAUUUGAUGGUAUCUAUUAUUCUUUUUUUGAAUGUUCCAAUGGUUUUUCUUUUUAUUUCGAGAUGGAUGCAAGUGGUAAAGUGAAUAUGCGUGUAACCAAACCCUCUUUUGAUUGUUCUCGUAGCAAAUUCUGUCUGAAACAGAAUGAGAAAAAUUGUGAAUGAUUUAUAAUAAUACUUGUUGAUAAAUAUAAGUUGAAUUUACAAUCUAUUUGUUCGAUUUAUUAUCACCCAAAAUUGAUAUUAUUUACAAAAGAAAAUGUUUGAUUUAAUUCAGCUUUUGGUAAAUAUUAAAAAGGAAUAUUCACUCGUACAUUUUAACAGAGAUAGAGUAGAGAGAGAGAGAGAGAGAGUUGGACACGACAAGCUGUUCCUAACACCAGCGAGAGUCGCGAGAUAAAACAGCGAAGGUAUGUGACUUUGUGCCCUAAGAAUUACACUUUCCAUUGAAUCUUUCUUCUCUCAGAACCUUCUGGGUUGCUAAAUUCAGCUGAUAACCCUAAACCCUAUUCCGUAGUUCUGUACCCUUUGCUCAAUUUCGAAUUUGAUUGAAUUUUUUUAAAUUUAGUAUCAGAUUACAAUCUUCCUUUAAAGUGACAAGCUUUUCUUUAACUUUGUGUUCUUGAUUAAUUCCUGUAAUGCGCAGUGUGAUAUAAAUUUGAAGUCUUUAACAAGAAAAAUGGUGGAAGUGUGGUGGCCGUUGUUAGCAGCAGCAGUCCCUGCGCUUAUCGGAGGACAAGCACUGAGGAUAAAGAAGAGACGUGGCGAAGAAGAGAGGAUCAAGAGUGCUCGAGGAAGAGAGAAAAGCUCUGAUGAGAUCUUUGUCUGCGAAAGAGUUUGCACUUCCAAAAGAAUGCUGAAGAAAGUUGGAGCCUUCUCUAAAGAUCCUAUUCCCGACACUUGUGUUACUGUCUGUGGUGUAUCUGAGCUUGACGCUUGCUCCGAUGCUUGUGCUCGAACCGUCUGUGUGAACCAGCACCAAGUUGCUAACUGGAAUGACAUUUGUCUAAGGAGGUGUCAGAGUGAGUGUCUUAAGCUCUCUUCUUCUUCUUCUCGCUCUUCUUGAUAUGUUUUAAGAGUUUGAAUCUCUCUUUUGUGUUGUUUGAGUUUGAGUCUGAACGGUAUGAUUGGUUCCUUUUGAAUCUGAAUUUUUUUUUUGUAAGUUAAAUAACAUUAUGAGCAAAUCUUUGGUGGAUUACAUUUACAUUUCAUCAUGUGAGGUUUGUUUGGUAACUUUCUCAGCUGUUUUGUGAACUGCUUCUCCUAUGACACCUCCUGCUAGUUUUGCUGAUUCUUCAAUGGCUUCUUUGCUUACUUCAAGGCUCCUUGUAGCCGCUUCUUUCACUUUCUCUCCUUUGUCUUCUCCUUCUUUGUCCUUGUUGUUAUUGGCGCUGUUGCUUCUGAAACUGUCACAACAAAACGACACACAGAAGUUUAGUAAAACGGAUUUUGAAGAAAGGCCAAGAUCAUAGUGUAUGAAUGCUUGUUUGUUUACUCUAGAUUUGGAGGGUAAAGCUUCGUUUUAAUCUUCUGCAUUGCACCUUGAAUCAAUUCCCAAGAACUAGGAGGAAAUUUCUUGCCAAAGAUCCCACAUAUGAUCUUUACAAGUGACGGAUUCUCUUCUUUCUUGGCUACACCAUCAUCAUCUGAAGAUACCGGCAAAAUCCCCCUAGAGAUCAAGAAGAUGAUGAUGAUGAAGAAAUUAAAUCUGAUUCUUCUUGAUUCAUUCAUGACCUAUAUAUUAAUUCGUUAAGAAGCUUCAGAGAUAUCAAGAAAGGGACCAAAAGGAAAGUGAGAGAUGAGAGAAAGUUGACGCCACGUUUCUAGCAUCAAUAGAAGCAGAUCAGACUUGUGCUUUGAACGAUUCUUGCGUAACACUUGCAUUGACUUUAGAGAGAACUUGAUCGAAACCAAUCCAAUAUUUAAUUAGACAUUACAUAGAAAAAAGAUUCGUUUCUGUCUCGUAUAAGUUCGAACAAAACAAAAACACAAAAUUUUGAACAGCUUCCCUCAUCUAGACAACCUGUCUUGAAACCCUUGAAGAAGAUAGUUCCAUGGCACAUACCAUAUGUUUAUCCAUAUUCUUAGCUAUAAUCACUUCACCACAUCUUCUCAACCAAUCACUUCAUUUGAAGAAACUAGCAUGAUCAAGAUUCAUCGGCUUCUCAUACUGUACCGCUAUACACCCCUCAGCAACAACCCAAUCCCCAUUCACAGCCGUUGCACAGCUCUACAAACAGAGCCCAGGUGAUUUAAAAUAUAUUAUGUUCUUGAAGACUUUUAGUUAACUCAUUGGAAUAUAUGAGAAGAUCCCAUAAGAAUAAUAUGUACCUUGGAACAAGUAUAGACAAUAAGUGUCAUCCAAUCCCAGUUAUCCAACGAUUGCUUCAGCCCUUCAUCAACAACACCCUCAUGCAGAAAAUAUAUCAAAGGAGACAUGAGUUGCAUCUCAAAGACCAUCGGAGAGUCGCAAUGCCUGCAGUUCUCAGGAGACUUCAGGUCUUCCGUAGCCAGCAAUGGCGUACCUCCAUAUGAGUACCUGACCAUGAAGAGACAGUCAGACUAAAGCUCAAAAACCAUUCAGUAAAAGAUACGAGCCGAGCAACGAUUACCUGAAACAUUGCUCAGAGUUCGCAUCUAGUCGUUUUUUGAACUUAAGGUAAGUCCUAUCUGCAUUCAAGGCUUUGUCAUACUCAUACUUCUCAUCCUCCCAAGCUUCUUCAGCUUCACUCUCAUCGUUCUUGCUUGUUUCUUUAUCCUUAAUGGACAUAGACGAAUAACUCAUGGAGACACGUUCCACAUCUUUUGUUGAGACUUUCUCUUCCUUUGUGUAUAUGUAGAAGCAGGGAAGCACCGCACCAGUCUCGACUUUAACCUGAUCCACUGACUUCAAAGGUGAAGGCUUUGCUUUAGUCCCUGAGCUAGCAUUGCCACUUGGUUUGCUCUUUGGUUUCUUGGAGUUGGAUGCAACCGUAGUAGCAGCCUCCGCAAUGGCUUUAGCUAAACUCUCAAAAUCAAAAUCUUCAUCAUCAUCAUCAUCACCAUCAUCGUCUAACCAAUGAGUUUUGGAAGGUGUAUCCUUAGGUGAGGCAACGGGAAGAUCCUCUGAAUCAAUAGAUUCUUUCUCCUUUAUAGCUUUCUGAACGCUUAAAGCUCUCCAGCUGAAGCAAAACCAGAUGAAACACAAAGUUCAGACCUUUGAUCAUUCUUACAUAAUCAUAAAAAAAGAUAAAACCUUUGUUCAGAAGCUCCACAUUUAGGCAUCAAGCAACCGAAGAUAUAGAGAGUACGCUCUUCUUCAGUUGAGAUUGGGGAGUAAACCUGAGCUACAAGGGAGAGUUUACUUCCACAGGAACAGCAGUUUAGUAGCUCUGGUUUCAGUAUAUCAUCUGGUAAUGGUGGCCAGUCCUGGAAGCAAACUUAUGAUCAGUACACAGAAAGAUUUGAACUUUUAUGUGAAAGGAGUGAUGGAGAGAAGGAGUGUUACCGGAAGACCUCCGAUUUUAGUUGUGUAGUGAUCAGAAGACUCGAGCUCGUCUUCUGCCCACUGUCCAGGCAAACCCAGAAGAACUCCGACCAUGAUGAUAGCAGUUCUCCGACCAAAGCAGAACAGAGAGAUUAUUGGUGAAGUUUAGCUCUGUUUCGAAACAACAACGGUGAGGACGACGAAGCGAGAGGUGGGAGAGAAUAAAGCCAGUUAGGGUAAUUAGAAAACCGGUUUAAAUCGAACCAAUUGGUUUAAAUUGAAUUGAACGAUUUCAAUUGAACCAGUUGGUUUUAUGAUUCAUGCCACUACUAGACAGCACUCCAUUUAUGAGAUGGUAACGUUUCUUUAUUUCUAAACCUGCUCCAUAUACAUUCCAGUUACCACAAAAUAUUUGAUCAUGCUUGUUGACUGUAAUUAAUAAAAGAAUACUGACUUCUUCGUUUUUUUCAGUUCCGUCUCUUGGAAUGCAAGAUCCAAUGCAUGUGUUCUUUAAAAGUCAAUAAUUAAAAGACAACAAAGAAAAGUAAAAAGUUGUGAUUGUGGGAGAGGAGAUGGUUGAAGCUGACACUGCCAAAUUACCACUGUGUGGUUCAUAUAAAUCCUGGGAACGGAAGACACUUGUCACCGUUGCCACUAGUCAAAAUACAACACCAGCAGGCACGUAAACUGCUCUAUGGGUAUCAAUACGCCACCAAGUUUUAGGUUUUAUUCUCCUUUAAAUAUCGUUAGAAAAGCUGAAUGCAGUUUACAAUUUGUAUUAUAUUAAAUAUCUUGCUAUAACAUUGAAAACAAUCGCAUCUAUAAACUUAUUAAUAUGUAUCACGUACCGGCUGGCAACAUUAAACAUGAAGUUGUGUUAAUCGCCUCCAUGAUUUAUAUCUAACCAAACUAAGUCGUCCAUAUUUUUAUUAACUAAUUAUAGACUUUUGUUUUUUAAUAUGUACAUAUUCAGUAACGAUAGAUAGUCGGCUAGGUUUGAUUUUUAUAUAACAAACACACAUCUACUUAUCUUAAAAUAUGUUAUGGCUUUUCUUUCUUGUCAACAUGUUAUGGAAUUCUUUUAUAAAAUCGAGAAUCAGAUUAGAUCUGAAAUCAAAAAUCGUAUCCAUAUUCAAUAGCUAGACCAGCAAAACCACGUACGCGGUACGCUCACAGAAGAUAGAAGCAAAAGCUGACGCGGAUAAAGCGUGUGCAUGUCCCAGUGAAUGACAUUAUUAGUAAUUUGGUCACAAAUGCUUUAUCUUUUUUUCUGAUAGAAAAAUAUAAAAAGAACGUAAAAUAAAAUAUUUGAAUAUAUGUUGUGUAACAUUGUAUUCGUACCACCCAAUCUAGCUGUAAUUUUGCUCUAUUAAAUAUUGCAUACCUUCCUCAGUAGCUUUCUUUAUAUAUGUUCUCUCCAGUACAAUCUCCAUUGCUCCUAAUAUCAUAUUUUCAAGAAAACAAGAUACUGGAGGACUCUCUCUUCUCACUACAGCUUUGGUCGUAUGGAUGAUCUAAAGGAGGUUUAAAUCUCUCAGACCCUUCUUCUUAUUCUUCUGUUUUUCCUCCAGAGAAUAAAUUUUAGAGUUUUUUUUUGGUAAAAAUAAAUUUUAAAGUUGAAGUGAUCCAUGAUCAUUCACUUCUACAGAGUGAAUUUUACAUGUUUUUGAAUUAGUCUCUUAUAUAUCGAAACUAGUGAAACUUUUGAGAAUCAGAACAAACGAUUUUAAGGGGUUUUUUCUUUUGUUGGCAGAACAAGAACUCGCCAUGGCUAUCAGUACCACAGUUUGGAGACUGGGAUCAGAAAGGAGGAACCAUUUCUGACUACUCAAUGGAUUUCACAAAGAUCAGAGAGAUGAGGAAACAGAACAAGAGAGAUCCUUCUCGAGCCAGUCUUGGCAACGAAGAAGACCUCAUUAACCCUUUUCAUAACCAACCUACUACAGUUGAUAAUACUAAGCCUAAACUCACGACUGUUCACAGCGACAACAACAGAACGAAAACUGAGUUCUCUCACCACCAGCCACUUUCUCCAUCUGUAAGAGAUUACUUUUCAAAUUUUUUGUUGAUAUCUGAAUGAUUGAUUGUGUUCUCUGGAUCAGUUCUGUGCCAUUAAUAUAGGCUAUCGAAUAUAACUUUGUAGUAAUUUGGUUACACAAUGUUUGUUCUAUAUAGUUGAUCAUGUGUUUAUAUUCAUUAAGUUACAUGCAUACACUUGAAUUUCCCAUCUUAACAUUCAUUUUUUCUUGAUGUGGGUGUAUAUGAUCUAGAUGAUUGAUAGUGUCUUCAAACCGUUAGGUAGGUGUUUUUAAUUUAGUUAGGUUGUGGAAUCUAGCUUUGUAACUUUAUAUGGUUAGAUGUUGGGUCACACAUUGUUUGUUCUACUUUACCUUUUUCAAAAUUGCAGACUUUUUUUUUGAGAUUUUGACUGAGUCGUGUCUAUGUGAAUUGGAUGAUUGUGUAUUUUGGAUUAUAGCUGUGUGUGUUCAUUUGAUGUGGGCCUUACCUUCUUGGGUUGGUUGCUUAUGGAAUCUAACUUUGUAAGCAUUAUAUGGCUUCUUCUAGCAAUUGGGUGAAUGUGGUCCCUCAGUGUUUGGUCUAAGUUAAGUUGCUAGCUGCUAUUUAUAUAUACACAUGAUAUUAACACCCCCACCAAACUUCAUAUAUUAGAUUUUGAGUUUAUAUUAGAUCUGGAUCAUGAUUGGGUAUGGUUGAGGGGGUUUAUAUGGUUAUAGAAUCACAUCAAAGAGAUAACUAUAUAGUUCUUGUAAUGGUUUCUUUUAAUCAAAGUAAAGCAUAAUCCUUUACAAGAAAAAUGUGUGGCUUAUAACCUUUUGUGACCUACCACGUGAACUGCACAGACGAGGAGAGGAAUCUUCAGCUGCUUCAACUGCUGCGUUAAAGCUUGAAGGUUUUUUUUCAUAAUAGAGACGAUGAGGAGAUGAAUCUUCAGCUGUUUCGAUUAUUUAUAAUAAUGAAGACGGAAAUUAAAAUGAGUAAUGGUCGAGUGACACCAUUACACUUAUAUUUUUCUGCGGAAGCAGUGAAGUAUUAAUCAAGUUUGUCUACUGUUUACUGUUAUCUUCCAAUGUCUAACUAUGUUUUUGGUAUUAAUUUGAAGUGUAAUGCAGAGUAGAUUCUUUUGUACGUACUUUCAAUUGCGUUUGCCAUCUAACUAUCUAACUAUCUGAUAAUCAAAACACAUAAGAUACGUUUACUACAAUCAUCCUCGUAAGUCUUAAACUCAGUACCUUAACUAAGCUUAUUGGAGGUUAUUGUGUAAAUAGAGAAGUCACACUAAGAAAGAUGUACGUCCUCGUCUAUUUCUGAUGAAAACGAUUAUCAAACUUGAACAUUGAAAAUGAAACAACAAAGUUGAUAUGGCCGAGUUGGUCUAAGGCGCCAGAUUAAGGUUCUGGUCCGAAAGGGCGUGGGUUCAAAUCCCACUGUCAACAGUUUCCUUUUUUUUUUCAUUGCUCUGUUAAAACAGAUCUUAUUAGUUACUAACUUACUACUGAUUCCACCUAUAAGGCUAUAACCCGUCGAUCUAAACCUCUCCUUUUGUUACUGGUCCAAAGUCAUCAAAGUGAAAUACAAAGCUUUACGGACAAGAUCUUAUCACAGGUUUUUGAAGAGAUACAGACUAUAACAAUCUUGAUUUGAAGAUCGUGUGGCUGAACGAACGAAACAAGAUAAGAUAAUGCUUUUUAGAUUCCCAGAGUUUGCAUUCGUUAGAACCCAUCAACUAUGAUUCCUACUCUGUGCAUAUAGUUCUCACUGAGCUCCAAUUAUAAAACCCAUCUUAUACUCGAAGUUUCUUCUGUGAUCAGUGGGGGGAAAAGUCGAAAACAAAAACGAAGUAAUUAAGUAAAAAGAGGUUAUUUUCGGAAUAACCGGUAGGCGGUUGUUUUGUGUUACGUUUUCUCUUCCCACAUCGGUUAGCUUGAAAAAAAUUAGAUCUUCUAGCAAGUAUAAAUAAGAGGCCGUGUCAUACCUUUCUCGGCCUUUUGGCUAAGAUCAAGUGUAGUAUCUGUUCUUAUCAGUUUAAUAUCUGAUAUAUGGGUCAUCGGCCCAUACGAUAUUAACUAUAUUUUUUUAGGGAGAAGGCCCAUCAAGUUAGCUUGCUAUCUGGGCUUUCAGGAGUCGCCUUUGCGUUGCACUACUGCACGGGCCUGGCUCAACCCAUCAAUUAAAUAGUCCAAUUUUUUUUGUGUUUACUCCGGAAAUCAAUGGUGAGUAUAUAACAGGCUGUUAGGGAGAGUAAUUGGGCCUUUAGUGAUAGCCCUAAAAGUUGGACGACGAGAGCAGAUCCUAUAUCCUUCAAAGCCCAUCACAUUGUAUAUAUUGACUUGUUAUGGUUAUUAGUCCUAUUAUGUUCAGUCUUGAAAUUUAGAUUUUUUUUAUAUUGUUUUACUAUUUUAAGUAUUUAUCAAAUUGUACGAUUUGAAAACGGUCAAUUAUAUACUAUCAACGUGUUAAACAUAUAAGUAAAAUAAAUUGUUAUUAAUCUAUUUUAACCACUGGUAACUUUUGUACUUACUAAGUUAAAAUUAUUGUUAGGUUAAUGUUUAUACUGUGCAAUUUUUUCGACAUUGGUUAAUUUAAAAAUGUUUUUAAAUUCAGUGGAACCUAUCGUCUUGAAAAUUUUACCCACUGCUCUUGAAUUGACAACUACGAUAAUUAAUGCUAUUUUGCUAAAAAGAGGAUAUUGCAGUUAAGGGAGUGGAGGACCACUCUUUAGAAAUGUUCCGACUGAGGAAAUCUAAUCGAAGGGUGGUCCCUCGAUGCAAUUGAAAAAAGUGAUCAUCGGGCCAUCGCAAUAAAGUUUGUACGCUUUGGACCAUUGUCUUGAUGGAUAAUCAAAGAGAAGAUGGAAGGUAAUAUCAUCACACAACACUGAUACAAAGCCAUUUUUUCCCUUAAAAGUCAAUGAAAAUUUCAUAUCCUUUUCGAAAGCUCUUUCCAAGUCAGAUUUGGCAGAUUAUUGUGUAUACAAAUGCUAGACUUUUAAUGUUCUCAAAGCAUUAAAAAAUAAAAACUCCUCCAGUUUUUGUUUGUUGGUCUUUAAUAAUUAGUCACUUAGUUUAGCUAAUUGAUCGUGACCUGUGAGUCUUGGUCAAAUAAAUAUCCCUCUUGUAAAUCAUUGACAACAAAAAAGAAAGCUUAAACCAUAGCUGCUACCACUAUUUUUUCAAGUAUAGUUUGAUAAUGAUGCAAUCAUGUAAUGUAUAAUAUGCUUGAGGGUCUGGAUCAUGAUUUAUUACAAUUUGCAGAGACCAAAUUACAAUUUGCAUAGUCAAAGCCUUUAUAUAUGUACCAUCAUCAUUUUUCAGGGUAAAACAUGUCUGCCGUAGUUGUGUUACAUAGUCAAGCUUUUUAAUACUAUAGUUUUUUUUUCUGAAUCAAGUUGUACCUACCAUCUUCGCAGUUACUCCCACUGGUCGAUAUUCAAUAUAAAAAACAAUUGAUGCUAGAUAUAUUGAAACAACUAAACACACUUGAUGAAGGACUUAGUCAGAGACACGAUUCUAAGAUGAAAUUGUGAUUAUCAUCUCUACAAAGCAUUAAAAACACACACACCCAAAAGCUUAAAAUAAAUGUUAAAAAGCACUCUUGAAACUCUCAACCGUUAUGUUGUUGAACCUGAAGUUACUGUCUGGACUCAGCUCCACGUAGUGUACCAAUCCAAGCAGGUGGCUGCAUCCCGGUCUGCUCAUAAACCGUAUCAAGAACCGGUGGCAACAUCUUGUAGAGUCCAGCAAUUUCCUUCAUACCACCACUACCCAUCCCCUGAUCAACACCAGCACCACCACCUUGG